GGAAGCGUGGCUGAGUGGCUGAAGGCACCGGUCUUGAAAACCGGAGUACUCGAAAGGGUACCGGAGGUUCGAAUCCUCCCGCUUCCG
rnacentral:tRNA from 1 species